AUCCAGCUGACGAGUGAUAUGUAGGACGAAACGCACGUUCUGGAU
rnacentral:hammerhead_ribozyme from 1 species